rnacentral:rRNA from 1 species
AAUGGGGGAAACCCUGAUGCAGCGAUGCCACGUGAGUGAAGAAGGCCUUCGGGUCGUAAAACUCUUUCAGCGGGGAAGAAGGGAAACUUGACUGUACCCGCAGAAGAAGCACCGGCUAACUCCGUGCCAGCAGCCGCGGUAAUACGGAGGGUGCGAGCGUUGUUCGGAAUCACUGGGCGUAAAGCGCGUGUAGGCGGCUUGGUAAGUCUGAUGUGAAAUCCCUGGGCUCAACCUGGGAACUGCAUCGGAUACUGCCUGGCUAGAGGACGAGAGAGGGAAGUGGAAUUCCUGGUGGAGGGGUGAAAUCCGUAGAUAUCAGGAGGAACAUCAGUUGCGAAGGCGGCUUCCUGGCUCGUUCCUGACGCUCAGACGCGAAAGCGUGGGGAGCAAA